rnacentral:rRNA from 1 species
UGGGGAAUAUUGGACAAUGGGCGCAAGCCUGAUCCAGCCACGCCGCGUGAGUGAUGAAGGCCUUCGGGUCGUAAAGCUCUGUGGGGAGGGACGAACGGCGCCAUGAAGAGUGGCGAUUGACGGUACCUCCUUAGCAAGCACCGGCUAACUUCGUGCCAGCAGCCGCGGUAAUACGAAGGGUGCAAACGUUGCUCGGAAUCAUUGGGCGUAAAGCGCACGUAGGCGGCUUCAUAAGUCGGAUGUGAAAUCC